UGAGGAAUAUUGCACAAUGGGCGCAAGCCUGAUGCAGCAACGCCGCGUGAGGGACGAAGGCCUUCGGGUCGUAAACCUCUUUUCUGGGGGACGAGUAAGGACGGUACCCCAGGAAUAAGUCUCGGCUAACUACGUGCCAGCAGCCGCGGUAAAACGUAGGAGGCGAGCGUUAUCCGGAUUUACUGGGCGUAAAGCGUACGCAGGUGGCUUCGUUAGUCGGACAUGGAAGCUCCUGGCUUAACUGGGAGAGGUUGUUCGAUACUGCGGGGCUUGAGGUUGGGAGAGGGACGUGGAAUUCCCGGUGUAGUGGUGGAAUGCGUAGAUAUCGGGAGGAACACCAGUGGCGCAAGCGGCGUCCUGGCCCACACCUGACGCUGAGGUACGAAAUCGUGGGUAGCAAACAG
rnacentral:rRNA from 1 species